rnacentral:rRNA from 1 species
GAUGAACGCUGGCGGCGUGCCUAAUACAUGCAAGUCGAGCGAACAGACGAGGAGCUUGCUCCUCUGACGUUAGCGGCGGACGGGUGAGUAACACGUGGAUAACCUACCUAUAAGACUGGGAUAACUUCGGGAAACCGGAGCUAAUACCGGAUAAUAUAUUGAACCGCAUGGUUCAAUAGUGAAAGACGGUUUUGCUGUCACUUAUAGAUGGAUCCGCGCCGCAUUAGCUAGUUGGUAAGGUAACGGCUUACCAAGGCAACGAUGCGUAGCCGACCUGAGAGGGUGAUCGGCCACACUGGAACUGAGACACGGUCCCGACUCCUACGGGAGGCAGCAGUAGGGAAUCUUCAGCAAUGGGCGAAAGCCUGACGGAGCAACGCCGCGUGAGUGAUGAAGGUCUUCGGAUCGUAAAACUCUGUUAUUAGGGAAGAACAAAUGUGUAAGUAACUAUGCACGUCUUGACGGUACCUAAUCAGAAGGCCACGGCUAACUACGUG